rnacentral:rRNA from 1 species
CGGGAUAAGUGCUGAAAGCAUCUAAGCAUGAAGCCCCCCUCAAGAUGAGAUUUCCCAACUUCGGUUAUAAGAUCCCUCAAAGAUGAUGAGGUUAAUAGGUUCGAGGUGGAAGCAUGGUGACAUGUGGAGCUGACGAAUACUAAUCGAUCGAAGACUUAAUCAAAA